GAUGAACGCUGGCGGCGUGCCUAAUACAUGCAAGUCGAGCGAACGGACGAGAAGCUUGCUUUUCUGAUGUUAGCGGCGGACGGGUGAGUAACACGUGGAUAACCUACCUAUAAGACUGGGAUAACUUCGGGAAACCGGAGCUAAUACCGGAUAAUAUUUUGAACCGCAUGGUUCAAAAGUGAAAGACGGUCUUGCUGUCACUUAUAGAUGGAUCCGCGCUGCAUUAGCUAGUUGGUAAGGUAACGGCUUACCAAGGCAACGAUGCAUAGCCGACCUGAGAGGGUGAUCGGCCACACUGGAACUGAGACACGGUCCAGACUCCUACGGGAGGCAGCAGUAGGGAAUCUUCCGCAAAGGGCGAAAGCCUGACGGAGCAACGCCGCGUGAGUGAUGAAGGUCUUCGGAUCGUAAAACUCUGUUAUUAGGAAAGAACAUAUGUGUAAGUAACUGAGCACAUCUUGACGGUACCUAAUCAGAAAGCCACGGCUAACUACGUG
rnacentral:rRNA from 1 species